GCGGCCUCUGCUCCCGGGGUCCCAGUCCAACUCCCACCUGACACAGGAGCCUCUCGGGAGCAGCCGCUGGCGCCCAGCCCAGGCUUGAACACUUGUGAGCUAACGUCCCUCGGACAGUCGCUUCCUCCUGGGCCAGCUCCCACUUCAGAACGUUCUCCCUCCGUCGGGCUGGGCUCGGCGCGGCUCAGCCCAGGCUAGGACAGGCCCGGGGCCAGGGCGGCCCCUCGUCAGGACAAGUUUUCCAAAGUCAAAACUGAACGCGCCCAAGAGAACGCGCCCCGUCUCUGCACCCUGCAUCCCAGACACCUCGGAGCCCCGGCUGCCAAGAGAAACUGCCUUUCAGGCCUCCGCGGCCUCUCCUACGCCCGCGGCGCCAGGGCCCGCAAACCCGGCGACUCUGAACCGCCCGCUACGCUCGGGCGCCAUCUUGCGUUCGUUCCUCUCGGCCACCCGGGGACAGUCCGGAAACUACAUUUCCCAGAGUGCCUAGCGCGUUGACGCAGGCGCCAAGAGCCUCCUCUGGUUUCCACGGGAACCUCGCCCCUCAAAGGCCAGGCAGUUGGACUGUGGAGCGCGAAGCUGUCGCUCCCCGUCAGGUGCUCCGGCGUUAGACCAGAUGUGGAAGGUGCAGGACUUCUAGGAGCCACAAAAGCUCCUUUUCCUGGCGAUGCAACCCCAGAAAUGAGAAACUGGAAGAGGGAGGCCAAGUGCCAUGAGGAUGGAAUAAAUGGUUUGAGCAGCAGAUGGAAUUAUUCUGGGUCAGUGGGAUGCCUGAGCUGGUAAGCAGAGAUCCCCACCCCAGUACUGCUGGCUAUCCCAUGUGGUGGGUGAGGCCAGGGAGAACAAGGCCAGAUGCUCUGCCUGCUGCCAGAUCUGCUGCAGGCAGUCCCUGCUGCCCCACCCACCAUCCUGCUGAAACCUCCCCCUCCUCCUCCC